UACAUGCAUCAAGAUAGGUCUUUUUUAAAGACCUGCCAACCGAGCUUCAAAGCCACGAUGGUAAGUUCCAACAAAAGGAAGAUGUGUCCGUAAAGGAAAAAACGAUCAACC
rnacentral:ncRNA from 10 species